GACGAACGCUGGCGGCGUGCCUAAUACAUGCAAGUAGAACGCUGAAGGAGGAGCUUGCUCUUCUGGAUGAGUUGCGAACGGGUGAGUAACGCGUAGGUAACCUGCCUGGUAGCGGGGGAUAACUAUUGGAAACGAUAGCUAAUACCGCAUAAGAGUAGAUGUUGCAUGACAUUUACUUAAAAGGUGCAAUUGCAUCACUACCAGAUGGACCUGCGUUGUAUUAGCUAGUUGGUGGGGUAACGGCUUACCAAGGCGACGAUACAUAGCCGACCUGAGAGGGGGAUCGGCCACACUGGGACUGAGACACGGCCCAGACUCCUACGGGAGGCAGCAGUAGGGAAUCUUCGGCAAUGGACGGAAGUCUGACCGGGCAACGCCGCGUGAGUGAAGAAGGGUUUCGGAUCGUAAAGCUCUGUUGUAAGAGAAGAACGAGUGUGAGAGUGGAAAGUUCACACUGUGACGGUAGCUUACCAGAAAGGGACGGCUAACUACGUG
rnacentral:rRNA from 1 species